AGAGUUUGAUCCUGUCUCAGGACGAACGCUGGCGGCGUGCUUAACACAUGCAACCUCGAGCGGUAAGGCCUUUCGGGGUACACGAGCGGCGAACGGGUGAGUAACACGUGGGUGAUCUGCCCUGCACUUCGGGAUAAGCCUGGGAAACUGGGUCUAAUACCGGAUAUGACCUCCUAUCGCAUGGUGGGUGGUGGAAAGAUUUAUCGGUGCAGGAUGGGCCCGCGGCCUAUCAGCUUGUUGGUGGGGUAAUGGCCUACCAAGGCGACGACGGGUAGCCGACCUGAGAGGGUGACCGGCCACACUGGGACUGAGACACGGCCCAGACUCCUACGGGAGGCAGCAGUGGGGAAUAUUGCACAAUGGGCGAAAGCCUGAUGCAGCGACGCCGCGUGAGGGAUGACGGCCUUCGGGUUGUAAACCUCUUUCAGCAGGGACGAAGCGCAAGUGACGGUACCUGCAGAAGAAGCCCCGGCUAACUUCGUGCCAGCAGCCGCGGUAAUACGAAGGGGGCUAGCGUUGUUCGGAUUUACUGGGCGUAAAGCGCACGUAGGCG
rnacentral:rRNA from 1 species